AUGUGCUGGACAAAAUGUCUUCCCUCUCAUGAUGAUGAUGAAUUGGACGUACAGUACACAUCCACACACCAAAGUGCACGUCAUCGCUUCUCAAACACUAACUUCGAUUGUUCUCUCAUUUCAAAAUGUGUCAUCAUAUCAAAGCAUAUUUCGCUCAUUCACGUGGGCGGCGUCAGAUUUUGUCAUAGCACCUGCGCGUGUGCGCGUCCGCGUCGGCAUGCAAGUCAAUUUGUGCAUCUUUAGCGGAACUCCCUCCCCGUCAACUUUUAACCCAAGAGCCUUUUGAUUAUAAUCAUUAUGAAAAGUUAUUAUGAAUCACCCGCGAGGCGAAAAUAUUUUUUUUGCGUUUGUGCACCCUUAUGUCAUUGUCAGUAAAAGAGAUGCGCAAACAAUGAAAAGCGGCUCGGUAGAAAUAAUAAGUACAACUAUUAUGAUAUCAAUAAUGGUUAAAAAAAAUUUUGAAUAAUUCAGAGCUUAACGUUGGUUAUUUAUGUAUUGUUGAGGAAGUGUAAAUAAAGAAAUUAGACUCAACUUGGUUGCCAUUACAUCGGGGGGCUUAUUGUUGUUUGUUUCAUUCAAAAACAAAAAUGGUGGCAAAGAGAGGCAAUAUGUGACGGUAACCGUAGAGCCGGUCGGAAGUGGAACUCGGUGAUCCAUUUCUCUCCGUUUGAGCUCCUCCGCACAAAAGGAUCGAGAACAGUCUACUUGGGUACACAGAAUGCUGGAGUGCUUUCAAUAAAACGGUCACGUUCAUGUUAGAACGCGAUGAAUUGUAAGAUGUAUUUGUUACAUAUUUGGAUGCAUUUUUAAGCUUUAGGAAACAUUGAUGUCUGGAUUUUGGGGGGGUUGGAACGGAUUAGGGCAUUUACAUGGAAAAUGUGUCUCUCCUUACAAAAUUUUCCAGUUAAGAAAUUUCUUCCAGAACCAAUUAAUUUCGUAAGUGGAAGUACCACUGUACUCAGUUUCCCGUUCUCGCGACACAACUCGUCACAUUAAUAACGUAAAAUCGGCGAUGUCUUAUCACGUUGUAAAUUUCACGUUGCAAUGUGGGAAGUUCUGUAUCACGUUAAAAUGUGAUGGAGUUCACGUUUUUCAUUUUACUUGUAAGUUAUCACGUUCUAACCUGAUCAUUUGCACUCGUGCAUUCAGCAAAACAAAAAGAAGCCAUUUUUUUACGGUAAAAAAAACAACAAAAAAAGUUUUUUAGAUUUAUCAGUGUGUGUCAAAUCAAGGCAAAUGUUGACCGAUCGAAAAAAAAAUGGUGGGAAUCUCAAACGUGUGAAACUCGACAUGCCACAAAUGCGUGCGUGUUUUAUGGGACAAUGGGAACAGUGUUCAAGGAGCUUGAAAGACUUGUGAGUAAUCUCUGCCGAACAUUGACCCGUUGUUCUUUGAAGAGUCGUGUGGGAAUUUCAAAACGGUGAAAGCGUAAAACAGUGUCGGAUUGAUCUUGCACACGAAACACAAAGGCCCGCUAACGCAAUUGGACCAUCGGGAAAAAGCGACUGGAAAGCACAAACUAUAUGUGUACUUUUACAAAAUGGAUGUUU